rnacentral:rRNA from 1 species
AGAGUUUGAUCCUAGCUCAGGGUGAACGCUGGCAGCGUGGAUGAGGCAUGCAAGUCGAAUGGGUUUAGACCCAUGGCAGACGAGGUAGGAACACGUAGGUAAUCUCCCCCAAAGUCAGGGAUAACCCGGCGAAAGUCGGAGUAAUACUUGAUGGUCUGACGACCAGUUCGCUGGACGUUAGUAAAGAUUUAUCGCUUUGGGAAGAGCCUGCGGGCUAUCAGCUAGAUGGUAGGGUAACGGCCUACCAUGGCUAUGACAGCUAGGGGAGGUGAGAGCCUGACCCCCACCGAUGGAACUGCGACACGGUCCAUACUCCUACGGGAGGCCGCAGUCGAGAAUCAUCCGCAAUGGGCGAAAGCCUGACGGUGCGACGCUGCGUGGUGGAUGAAGUCCUUCGGGACGUAAACACCUUUUAUGAGGGAGGAAGUUUAUUGACGUUACCUCAUGAAUAAGGGGCUCCCAAUUCUGUGCCAGCAGGAGCGGUAACACAGAAGCCCCAAGCGUUACCCGGAUUUACUGGGCGUAAAGGGUGCGUAGGCGGUUAUAUUAGUCAGCUGUUAAACCUUCAGGCUCAACCUGAAGCUCGCAGCUGAAACGGUAUAACUUUGGAGGUGUGAGAAGUUGAGGGAACUCUCGGUGUAGAGGUGAAAUUCGUUGAUAUCGAGGGGAACACCAAAAGCGAAGGCACUCAACUGGCACACACUCGACGCUGAAGCACGAAAACGUGGGUAGCGAACGGGGAUAGAUACCCCGGUAGUCCACGCCCUAAACGUUGUCCCGCUGGCUUUUUCCGGAAUCGACCCCCCGGAGAGGCGAAGCUAACGCGUUAAGCGGAAAGCCUGGGUAGUACGAGCGCAAGCUUAAAACUCAAAGGAAUAGACGGGGGCUCGCACAAGCGGUGGAGCGCGGGGCUUAAUUCGUCGCUAAGCGAAAAACCUUACCGAGGCUAGAAACCAUACUGCACGCUCUCCGAAAGGAGGGAAGCCUUCGAGGGUGUAUGGCAGGUGAUGCAUGGCCGUCGUCAGUUCGUGGCUUGAGCUGUUCCCUUAAGUGGGGAAACGAACGCAACCCUCGUUGCCUGUUACAUGUGUCAGGCGAGACUGCUCCCUCACGGGAGAGGAAGGUGAGGAUGACGCCAGGUCAGCAUGUCCCUAGAUGCCUCGGGCUGCACCCACGCUACAAUGGGACGUACAACGGGCCGCGAAGCCGUAAGGUGGAGCAAAUCCUUAUAAAACGUUCCUCAGUUCGGAUUGUGGUCUGCAACUCGACCACAUGAAGCCGGAAUCGCUAGUAAUCGCGAAUCAGCACGUCGCGGUGAAUACGUUCCCGAGCCUUGUACUCCCCGCCCGUCAACACAAGGGAGCCGGGAGUGCCCGAAGUACUGCCUUGCGCAGUCCUACGGCAAGUUCGGUAACAAGGUGUAAGUCGUAACAAGG